rnacentral:rRNA from 1 species
GACGAACGCUGGCGGCGUGCUUAACACAUGCAAGUCGAACGGAAAGGCCCUGCUUUUGUGGGGUGCUCGAGUGGCGAACGGGUGAGUAACACGUGAGUAACCUGCCCUUGACUUUGGGAUAACUUCAGGAAACUGGGGCUAAUACCGGCUAGGAGCUCCUGCUGCAUGGUGGGGGUUGGAAAGUUUCGGCUGUUGGGGAUGGACUCGCGGCUUAUCAGCUUGUUGGUGGGGUAGUGGCUUACCAAGGCUUUGACGGGUAGCCGGCCUGAGAGGGUGACCGGCCACAUUGGGACUGGGAUGCGGCCGAGACUCCUACUGGAGGAAGCAGUGGAGAAUAUUGCAGAAUGGGCGGAUGUGUGAUGCAGCACCGCCGCGUGCGGGAUGACGGCCUUCGGGUGGUAAACCGCUUUCGCCUGAGACGAAGCGUGAGUGACGGUAAUGGGUAAAGAAGCACCGGCUAACUACG